rnacentral:rRNA from 1 species
UACGUAGGAGGCAAGCGUUGUCCGGAAUUACUGGGUGUAAAGCGCGUGUAGGUGGUGGGCCAAGUCUGUGGUGAAAUCGCCCGUCUCAACUGGGCGGGGUCCGUGGAAACUGGUCGACUGGAGGACGGUAGAGGCGAGUGGAAUUCCCGGUGUAGUGGUGAAAUGCGUAGAGAUCGGGAGGAACACCAGUGGCGAAGGCGGCUUGCUGGGCCGGUCCUGACACUGAGACGCGAAGGCGUGGGGAGCGAACGGG